rfam:Triticum aestivum genome assembly, contig: Triticum_aestivum_CS42_TGACv1_scaffold_061061_1DL
GAUAUACUCCCUCCGUCCCGAGUUACUUGUUGCAAAAAUGGAUGUAUCUCGAACUAAAAAUAUGUCUAGAUACAUCCAUGUCUGCGACAAGUAAUUCCGGACGGAAGGAGUAUAUU